UACAGGGGGUGCAAGCGUUGUUCGGAAUUAUUGGGCGUAAAGGGCGCGUAGGCGGUGCGGUAAGUCACCUGUGAAACCUCUGGGCUUAACUCAGAGCCUGCAGGCGAAACUGCCGUGCUUGAGUGUGGGAGAGGGUGACGUGGAAUUCCCGGUGUAGCGGUGAAAUGCGUAGAGAUGUGGAGGAACACCGAUGGCGAAGGCAGCCUUCUGGGCCAACACUGACGCUCAUGCACGAAAGCGUGGGGAGCAAACAGG
rnacentral:rRNA from 1 species